AACGGAUCAAGGUUUUGUCAUCUUUGAUGUGGUAUAGUCAUUUUCGGGUGGUUAAAGACAUGCAAAAACUAUAGCAAAAUGAUAAGAUGUGUUGCUGUUAAUGUUGGCUAUAAGACCAAACAGCUGCCGUGAUUUGUGCCGCAUACCAUAAUUUCUGCCAUUGAAGAAAAUGGAAUGUGACUUGAUUACAUAGAUCUGACAAUCAAUUACACAUUCACAAUUAAAGGCUGCAUCGCGCAGGUAUUUUGAUGAGCAAAAUUUUGGAGACUCGGGAGUUAGAGUGUGAUAAAUAUUUAAAUCUAUUUUGAUUGAUUUGAAUGCAAAUGCCAGAAAAAGAGUUGAUACAAAUAAAGUUCCGAAUUUAUGAUGGAACAGAUAUUAGUCCGUUUCGAUAUCCACCAACUUCAACUGUUGGUACUCUCAAGGACAGAGUCGUUUCCGAUUGGCCUAAAGGACUAUUUCUGUAAGAGAGCUGUAGUGGAUUUGAGGAUCCCAGAAUAUAGUAUAUGAAGAAGGGAAUAGGGCUUUCAAUGAGGCUGUAUUGCAGAUCCAACAGAAUUUCCUCUGGGAUAGAGAAAGGACUUGUAUGAAGUUGCAGGGUUGGAAGUCACCAUAGAUUCAGCUAAGCAGAAGAUGCGAAGUUCUCUUGCAACACUGAAGGUUGGAGAAGGGUUUGCAAAUCCUCUUGGUUGGUAGGAUAAAUCUCAAGGGCAUACUGGUAAGAGUGAAUUGGAGGUCAGUGUUAGGGAUAAAAUACGAGA